rnacentral:rRNA from 1 species
GUGGGUAACCUGCCCAAGAGAUCGGGAUAACACCUGGAAACAGAUGCUAAUACCGGAUAACAACAGAUGAUGCCUAUCAACUGUUUAAAAGAUGGUUCUGCUAUCACUCUUGGAUGGACCUGCGGUGCAUUAGCUAGUUGGUAGGGUAACGGCCUACCAAGGCGAUGAUGCAUAGCCGAGUUGAGAGACUGAUCGGCCACAUUGGGACUGAGACACGGCCCAAACUCCUACGGGAGGCAGCAGUU